AGGUAUGUUUUAUUGAGACCAGUAUGAUGGCGUCACGAGGGCUUAACUGUCUCCUUUUUCCAGUCAAUGAAAUUGAUCCCCCCGUGCAGAAGCGGGGAUAACCCCAUAAGACGAGAAGACCCUAUGGAGCUUCAGGCUCCUGAGCAGACUAUGUUAAACAACCUAAAAUAAAAGACCAAACCCAUUAGACCCUGCCCUACAUGCCUUUGGUUGGGGCGACCACGGGGAAAAAAGAACCCCCACGUGGACCGAGAGAACAAACCCUCCACACAACCCAGAGCCACAGCUCUAAUCAACAGAACUUCUGACCAACUAAAUGAUCCGGUACUAACCGAUCAACGAACCCAGUUACCCUAGGGAUAACAGCGCAA
rnacentral:rRNA from 1 species